rnacentral:rRNA from 1 species
UAGGGAAUCUUCCGCAAUGGGCGAAAGCCUGACGGAGCAAUGCCGCGUGAGUGAAGAAGGCCUUCGGGUCGUAAAACUUUGUUAUAAGAGAAGAACAAAUUGUAGAGUAACUGCUACAGUCUUGACGGUAUCUUAUCAGAAAGCCACGGCUAACUACGUGCCAGCAGCCGCGGUAAUACGUAGGUGGCAAGCGUUGUCCGGAUUUAUUGGGCGUAAAGGGAGCGCAGGUGGUUUCUUAAGUCUGAUGUGAAAGCCCACGGCUUAACCGUGAAGGGUCAUUGGAAACUGGGAAACUUGAGUACAGAAGAGGAAUGUGGAACUCCAUGUGUAGCGGUGGAAUGCGUAGAUAUAUGGAAGAACACCAGUGGCGAAGGCGACAUUCUGGUCUGUUACUGACACUGAGGCUCGAAAGCGUGGGGAGCGAACAGG